rnacentral:rRNA from 1 species
AUGCACGCUGGCGGCGUGCCUAAUACCUGCAAGUCGAGCGAACAGACGAGGAGCUUGCUCCUCUGACGUUAGCGGCGGACGGGUGAGUAACACGUGGAUAACCUACCUAUAAGACUGGGAUAACUUCGGGAAACCGGAGCUAAUACCGGAUAAUAUAUUGAACCGCAUGGUUCAAUAGUGAAAGACGGUUUUGCUGUCACUUAUAGAUGGAUCCGCGCCGCAUUAGCUAGUUGGUAAGGUAACGGCUUACCAAGGCGACGAUGCGUAGCCGACCUGAGAGGGUGAUCGGCCACACUGGAACUGAGACACGGUCCAGACUCCUACGGGAGGCAGCAGUAGGGAAUCUUCCGCAAUGGGCGAAAGCCUGACGGAGCAACGCCGCGUGGGUGAUGAAGGUCUUCGGAUCGUAAAACUCUGUUAUUAGGGAAGAACAAAUGUGUAAGUAACUAUGCACGUCUUGACGGUACCUAAUCAGAAAGCCACGGCUAACUACGUG